rnacentral:rRNA from 1 species
GGCUCAGGAUGAACGCUAGCUACAGGCUUAACACAUGCAAGUCGAGGGGCAGCAUGGUCUUAGCUUGCUAAGGCCGAUGGCGACCGGCGCACGGGUGAGUAACACGUAUCCAACCUGCCGUCUACUCUUGGACAGCCUUCUGAAAGGAAGAUUAAUACAAGAUGGCAUCAUGAGUCCGCAUGUUCACAUGAUUAAAGGUAUUCCGGUAGACGAUGGGGAUGCGUUCCAUUAGAUAGUAGGCGGGGUAACGGCCCACCUAGUCUUCGAUGGAUAGGGGUUCUGAGAGGAAGGUCCCCCACAUUGGAACUGAGACACGGUCCAAACUCCUACGGGAGGCAGCAGUGAGGAAUAUUGGUCAAUGGGCGAGAGCCUGAACCAGCCAAGUAGCGUGAAGGAUGACUGCCCUAUGGGUUGUAAACUUCUUUUAUAAAGGAAUAAAGUCGGGUAUGCAUACCCGUUUGCAUGUACUUUAUGAAUAAGGAUCGGCUAACUCCGUGCCAGCAGCCGCGGUAAUACGGAGGAUCCGAGCGUUAUCCGGAUUUAUUGGGUUUAAAGGGAGCGUAGAUGGAUGUUUAAGUCAGUUGUGAAAGUUUGCGGCUCAACCGUAAAAUUGCAGUUGAUACUGGAUAUCUUGAGUGCAGUUGAGGCAGGCGGAAUUCGUGGUGUAGCGGUGAAAUGCUUAGAUAUCACGAAGAACUCCGAUUGCGAAGGCAGCCUGCUAAGCUGCAACUGACAUUGAGGCUCGAAAGUGUGGGUAUCAAACAGGAUUAGAUACCCUGGUAGUCCACACGGUAAACGAUGAAUACUCGCUGUUUGCGAUAUACAGCAAGCGGCCAAGCGAAAGCGUUAAGUAUUCCACCUGGGGAGUACGCCGGCAACGGUGAAACUCAAAGGAAUUGACGGGGGCCCGCACAAGCGGAGGAACAUGUGGUUUAAUUCGAUGAUACGCGAGGAACCUUACCCGGGCUUAAAUUGCAGAUGAAUUACGGUGAAAGCCGUAAGCCGCAAGGCAUCUGUGAAGGUGCUGCAUGGUUGUCGUCAGCUCGUGCCGUGAGGUGUCGGCUUAAGUGCCAUAACGAGCGCAACCCUUGUUGUCAGUUACUAACAGGUUCUGCUGAGGACUCUGACAAGACUGCCAUCGUAAGAUGUGAGGAAGGUGGGGAUGACGUCAAAUCAGCACGGCCCUUACGUCCGGGGCUACACACGUGUUACAAUGGGGGGUACAGAGGGCCGCUACCACGCGAGUGGAUGCCAAUCCCAAAAACCUCUCUCAGUUCGGACUGGAGUCUGCAACCCGACUCCACGAAGCUGGAUUCGCUAGUAAUCGCGCAUCAGCCACGGCGCGGUGAAUACGUUCCCGGGCCUUGUACACACCGCCCGUCAAGCCAUGGGAGCCGGGGGUACCUGAAGUGCGUAACCGCGAGGAGCGCCCUAGGGUAAAACU